rnacentral:rRNA from 1 species
AAUGAACGCUGGCGGCGUGGAUUAGGCAUGCAAGUCGAACGGUAAGGUCUCUUCGGAGAUACACGAGUGGCGCACGGGUGCGUAACGCGUAUGCAACCUACCUUUAACUGGGAAAUAGCCCCGAGAAAUCGGGAUUAAUGUCCCAUACUAUUCUUUGAAUGCAUAUUCGAAGAAUGAAAGCUCCGGCGGUUAUUGAUGGGCAUGCGUGACAUUAGCUAGUUGGUGAGGUAACGGCUCACCAAGGCGACGAUGUCUAGGGGUCCUGAGAGGGUUAACCCCCACACUGGUACUGAGACACGGACCAGACUCCUACGGGUGGCAG